CAAAUAUGAGACUGUCCUGCAAUAGAGGCUUGCAGGUCAUCAUAGUUCUUGAAAAUUGAAGUCAACAGAUGCCCUGCUCUCUCACACCUUCCCAUCAUCACGUUAUCACCCGUAUUUCUCCUUAUUCAGGAAUGAUCUCAUUAUCAACUGUGCCAGCCUGAUUAAGGGAACACUUGAGUAAAUUCAACUGGUGCCUAGAAGAAACUGCUUCCUUGGCUUCAGAAAAUAAAAACAUUCCUGAAAUUAUUAUGAG